rnacentral:rRNA from 1 species
UACGGAGGGUGCAAGCGUUAUCCGGAUUUACUGGGUUUAAAGGGUGCGUAGGCGGGUUUUUAAGUCAGCGGUGAAAGCUUCGAGCUCAACUCAGAAAUUGCCGUUGAUACUAUUAACCUUGAAUUAAGUUGAGGUGGGCGGAAUAUGUCAUGUAGCGGUGAAAUGCUUAGAUAUGACAUAGAACACCAAUUGCGAAGGCAGCUCGCUAAACUUAUAUUGACGCUGAGGCACGAAAGCGUGGGGAUCAAACAGG